UCGCUACUACCGAUUGAAUGAUUUAGUGAGUUGUAGGGAUCGUUGUCUUCCUUUGGUUCGCCUUAGGUUGACUUCCGAAAACUACCGCAAACUUGACCAUUUAGAGGAAGUAAAAGUCGUAA
rnacentral:rRNA from 1 species